rnacentral:tRNA from 1 species
GGAGAGAUGUCCGAGUGGCCGAUGGUGCAAUCUUGGAAAGGUUGUGUGGGAGCAAUUCCACCGUGGGUUCGAAUCCCACUCUCUCCG